CUUCCCUCUGGACCACUCCUCCCCUGUAUAGAUGUGACGGAAGCGCGCACCCCAGACCGCUCCCGUGACGCAGCGCAUCCCCGUGUGCACAGAUGCUGCUGGAGUGGAAGCGACAGGCGCGCUCAUCUCGGUGGGACUGAACGCAUCGAAGACCGGAGACAGGGGAGAAGAUCACCCGGUUUGCGUUCGUCAGGAGCCUCAGACCGCGGAGAACCAUGCUCAUAACGAGUCUCUCCGCGGGCAGCACGACUUAAAAAGCUGCGGUCCAUCCAUUUGGACACUUUAAAUUUACUCUCGCCCCUUCCCCCUUAUAUCUCCCUCUGUCUUUGAUAAGGAAGAUAAGAAUCCAGACAAUCAUCUCCAAGCUGACAUUCUUCUUUGGGUGACCCAUUUAACCCCACUUUGACGGACAGUCGGUGCUCAUUCACGCACGAUGUGGAAGACCGGGAUUCUCCUGCUGCUGUGGGUGCUUUUGGCGUCUGGCGAACUCCAGCAAGAGAAGGAGCCACGGAGACUCCCACCGCCGGGAAAGUUGGAUUUCGGUUAUCCGCCUGUGGGAGUUUACGAGACACUGGCCUAUUACGAACCGGGACCGAUAGGGAUCCUGUUCCACAUGGUGCAAGGUUUUCUGUGUGCCGUGCAACCCAACGCUUUCCCACACGAUCUUAUUGUCAAACUGGCAAAGGACAAGUUUGGAGCCAUCAAGACAGAAUAUCAAAAGCCAGAGAACAUAGUGCUGACCCUUCAGGCCAUCUACUACGAGAUAGGCUUCCUAAUAUGUGCGGCAGUGGGUCUGCUGUUCGCCGUCCUGUUGCCAGUAGUCGGCCUCUUUUUCUGCAUGUGCCGCUGCUGUGACAACUGCGGCGGCGAGAUGCACCAACGCCAGAGGAAGAACGCAGACUGCCGGCGUGGCCUGCUGGGAACGCUGCUCUUCUCCACCUCGCUGGUCAUCACGAUCGGAGUACUGUGCGCAUAUGCUGCUAACCAGAACCUGAGCUCUCAGGUGAAGAACAUUCGGAGAUUGGUCAACAGCAACAUGAGAGACCUGCACACCUUCGCUAAUGACACGCCAAUGCAAAUUGAUUACCUAAUAUCCCAGUACCCCACAGCCAAGAACAAAGUCAUCUAUGACCUAGAUAAUAUAGGUCCAUUAUUGGGUGGAAGGAUACACGAUCAGCUGGCCGUGGAGGUCAGUCCUGCCUUGGACAGAGUGCUCCAGAUGGCUGGAGCCAUGCGAGAAACCAAGGAGGCCCUGGACAAUGUCCAUGUUGGUCUGGAGGUCCUCCAGGAAGGAACAGGAAAGCUCGACUUCAACCUGAGCCUCGUCCGGACGAGUAUCAACCGCACCCUUAACGACCCGGGUUGUCAUGAUGAGAAGUCAGAUGCCACCUCUGCCCAGCUGUGCCGCAACAUCCGCCAGUCACUGUCCCAGCUGCAGAUCAGUGCCAACUUCACACGGCUACCCAAAGUGAACACUCAGCUGGAAAAGGUGAACAAUGUAUUGAAAACAGACCUCAGUGCUAUCGUCCAGAGGGGCUACUCAUCUUUGAACGACACGCCACAUAUGGUGAUUGAACAGACCAGAAGUGUUGUGGAGAAUGUAAAGAGUUUGCUGGACGGCAUUGGCAAUGACAUCAGCAGCUUUUCCAAGGCAUUCCCUGUGCAGAGUUGUCUGUCCAACUUCACUGUCUUCAUUAAUCAUGCCCAUGCCAAGAUUGAGGACCUCUACCCUGAAAUUGACAAAAUGGACUUCUACAGGUGGAUUGGCUGUAUUGGUCUUUGCUGCAUGAUUGUCCUGGUCCUGGCCUUCAACUACCUGGGCCUGCUGUGUGGUACCCUGGGAUAUGACAAGCACGCCUCACCAACAACACGAGGCUGCAUCUCUAAUACAGGAGGAACGAUGCUCAUGGCCGGUGUUGGAUUUAGCUUCAUCUUCUCCUGGGUGUUGAUGGGAGUGGUGACCACCAUCUUCCUGGCUGGAGGAAACAUGGAGAAACUCCUUUGUGAACCCUUUCACACCAAAGAAGUCUUCAAGGUUGUGGACACCCCAUAUCUAGUCAACCCAGGCUGGAAGAACUUCAUCCCUGGCUACAUGUACAACGACUCCAACCUGGAGCUGACGGCAGAAAGCUUAUACAGCACUUGCAAAGAGAACAAAGGUAUCUACUCAGCCAUGCGUCUGGACAAAAUCUUCGACAUCUCCUCUUUCCUGAAUACUGCAGCGUUUACAAAGGAUGUGGUGGGUCAGCUGGACAGUGUUAAGAUCGACCUGAGGGGAAUAAUCCUGUUAGAGGCAGAGGGGAAGCAGAACCUCCGGGAUUUCUCUGAAGCAGGGCUGUCAGAAAUCAACUAUGCUGACUACCUGGAAGAGGUCAACAAAGGAGUCACUGUGGUGGACCUGCUCUCAUUUGCCAGAGAGCUGGAGGCCCAGACAGACCUCAUGCCAAGAGGCGCUCUGCAGACAGCCCUGAAAGGCCAUGUCGGCACUCUACGGCAGAUCCACAAACAACAGAUCAUAUCCAUGGAGCAGGCCAUGAAAUAUGUUAGAGCGAGGGGUGCAUUGAACCAGAGUAUGAGGUUUCUAGAGAGAACAGCCUCAGACCUGCCAAACAAAGUUUUAGCAAUUCUUGAUGCCAUUGACACUGCCCAGUACCUCAUCUCCCAGAAUGCUACACAUUUAAUCAACCAGGAAACAGGAACAUUCUCAGCAACCAUUGUUGGCUACUUCCAUCAGUACAUCGACUGGGUCAAAACAUCUUUGGCCUUGGAAGUUGCACCAUGCAAGCCAUUCAGCAACGUGGUGGACACGGUGGAAAUUUUUGCUUGCAGUUUCUUGGUCGACUCCAUGAACACAUUCUGGAUGGGAUUGGGUUGCAGCACUCUCUUCCUGCUCCCGAGCAUCAUCAUAGCAGUGAAACUAGCCAAGUACUACCGCAGGAUGGAUACAGAGGAUGUUUACGAUGACAUUGAGACAGUUCCCAUGAAAACUAUGGAAAUUGGUAAUAAUGGUUAUCAUAGUGAGCGCUCACAAGGUAUCCCAAAUCCUAUGAUGACAAGCAUCCCUACCUAUGAAACUAUGAACAGGUUCCCACGGGCCUCGGCUCCUCCGAGGCACAUCGACUGGUGACAGAGAGCCAGCUCUUUUUCUGGCUCCUGAAAGUGCCGAAAACUGGAACUAAAAUACACCACACUUGUUUCACGACCCUUCAGAACCAGAAGAAGCUCAAUGAAAGCUGGUUUCCUUCCAACAGAAGAAGAGCAGGUUAAGCCCUUUGCGUGUUUCUAUCUGUAGCGAACAACUCAACCUCCUCAACUAGGCAGAUCACAGCCUACACUACAGUUUCCUGCUCCCCAACGUCCUCCUGCCCCUCCAAGAAACUCUGUCUGCAGGGCAUCAAACUCUUCUCCCACAACAACAAUCUGAGCCAGGCGUGUUCUGCAUUUUUUUUCAAAGGACUGCUGUGUCUGUGUUUACAUUUGAUCAGACACAAAACCAAGCUGAAAAUUCAUUCAGCAAGAGGACGUGACAGUGACUGUGAUGCCUGUUCAUUUCAAUGUACUUGUUUGUGCUUAAGAAGAAAGUGGCUAAAAGGUCACUCGAAAGUCGUGGCAAGCUGUUUCUCCUGCACUUCGAAUGGAUGUAUCACACUCAACACGAGCAGUAUGAGUUGGUGGGUGCGCAGUAGUUUAUUGACUGAGAACUGGAUGAUUUGAAGAAAGACAGGUUUGAUUUAUGUGAAUAAUAAAAAGAAAUAUAGCAUGAGUUUUUGUAAAAAAAAUGUUACAAAAUUACAAAACAACCAGAGUUUGACUGAUUUUGGGAAAAUUUCAAAUGAUUGAUUGCCUUUCAGAAGUGUGUGUCACCCUGGCAUAUUGACAGAUCCUUCACAUAUGAACAAAUUUACUGUUAAAAUAUGUGAUAUUAAGUGUGUACAUGGAAUUAUAUUGACUUUAGCAUAAUUCAUACAAAUGGAAUCGAUCAUAAAACGCAUCCUCAAUUACUAUUUUACCAACAGUGUAAGUAUUUGGGGUGAAUUUUCCCUUUAAUUCACACGUUAAAGUCAUCUUCUUAAUAUAUCAGACACAGUUACAAAAGUCAGGCUUUGAGAUGGUUCAUAAGUGAUUAACAUGUUGAGUUCACUAACAUGACAUUGUUACUGAUAUCUUUCUUGCUUUCAUAGUGAUGAUACAUUCAAAGCAGAGAAAUACUUUCUCAAGCCAAACUGUUUUUUUGUUUUUUUUGUUUUUUACUGUAGGUCUCACGUUUUUAGAGGUCUUUCAAUUAUGUGCUUAUUUUGUGUCUGCUUUUUCAAACCCCACAUCAGUGAAGGAUACAUUUAAAAACGAUUGAACGAGUGAAUGUAUUCAAGAGCUAUUUUUUUCUUUUAUACAUGCAUGAUAUUUGUUGAGAAAUAUGCUGAACUCUUUCACUAGCGCAUUUGGGCAAGCCAAUCCAGUUAUCCCAGACACCUCGUGUUUACAGGUUAGAUUUGCAGCUGCUGUCAGAGUAGUAGCUAAUGAUGGUGAAAAAUUAGACAAUCCAUUCAUGGGACAUGGGAGCGCUAUCAAUCAAAUAGUAGAAAACAGUAGAAUGAUUGAUGGUUUACACAGUCGAUGGUGUUGAUGCACACUAUAAAAAAAAUUAUGUCCAUCUUAACACUGAAAGUUUGAAUUUUACACAUCUAGCUGUCUCAUAAUAACAAACUAACUAACAGUGCAAUGGCAGAAUAAGCUAGCUAACUACCUUUUAAUCAAGUUAAAAAAAAAAAGCCAAGGUAUUCCCUUAAUCUUGUACAAUUGAAAGUACAUUUAAAUAUUCUUUGAAAUAACUAGCUUUUUGAUUCCCUACUAUUAGCAUCAAAUAUGUAUCGCUUGACCCAACAUAAUCACCAAUUACCCGUAAAAAAUACAGAAAAUAUUUGAUCUCUUUCUUCCUUCUGGACAUUUUAACUAACAACACAUAGACAAUUAACUAAUUUAAUGAAGCAAAAGGAACAGUCAUUAGGUUUCAUGAUUUUAGAUGAAAGGUUUGAUCCAGGCUAUUUACCUAGCAACUUAGCUACAGCUAGAAAGCUGGCUAACUGUCUUGCUCUAGCUCAUAUAGGCCUACUAGUACAUAUACUGUACUGUAUACUACAGUAUAUAUAUGAAUACUUAAGCAGUAUCCCUAAUAUACUAUAUAUACCAGUCUUUGGGAUAAAGUGUUAUUGUGAGGGAUUUAAAAUGGCUUCAGUCAGUUGAACAUUUUUUUAUUGUUUCAUUUCAAUACGCAGUUUCUUUUUAAGAUGGACAUUUUUUAAGUAUCCGUGUGCUCACUUUGACAGGACUAUCAUUGGUUUUCUUGCCUGCUAGAUUGUGGUUGUGAUCCAUCUUGAGAGAAAAAUGUUAUGAUUUUACUAAGUGCUUACGCUAUCAUGUAUCCGAACCCUGGAUGGAUACCGUCAGUGGUAACUGGUCUGAACUGUGACGCUCCAAAGUUGGGCAGUGAUGGAACCGCUGAAGAGGAACUUUUUGUGUGGUGAAGAAAAGUGUAUAAAUUGUGAAUAAACUUUGAAAUUC